rnacentral:rRNA from 1 species
AGCAGCCGCGGUAAUUCCAGCUCCAAUAGCGUAUAUUAAAGUUGUUGCAGUUAAAAAGCUCGUAGUUGAAUUUCGGGAUCAAUACGCCUGUCGUGCCUUCGGUACGUACGGGUGUAAUUGGUUUCUACCUUCUGAGGAUCCUUGAUGUCAUUAAUUUGGUGUCUUGGGGAAUCAGGACUGUUACCUUGAAAAAAUUAGAGUGUUUAAAGCAGGCAUACGCUUGAAUACAUUAGCAUGGAAUAAUGAAAUAGGACGUUCGAUUCUAUUUUGUUGGUUUCUAGGAUCGACGUAAUGAUUAAUAGGGAUAGUUGGGGGCAUUAGUAUUCAAUUGUCAGAGGUGAAAUUCUUGGAUUUAUUGAAGACUAACUACUGCGAAAGCAUUUGCCAAGGAUGUUUUCAUUAAUCAAGAACGAAAGUUAGGGGAUCGAAGACGAUCAGAUACCGUCGUAGUCUUAACCAUAAACUAUGCCGACUAGGGAUCGGAUGAUGUUAAUUUUUAAUGACUCAUUCGGCGCCUUAC